CGAGGCGGGCGGAUCACAAGGUCAGGAGAUCGAGACCAUGGUGAAACCCCGUCUCUACUAAAAANUGGUCUCGAUCUCCUGACCUCGUGAUCCGCCCGUCUCG
rnacentral:pre_miRNA from 1 species